AAGUCGUAACAAGGUUUCCGUAGGUGAACCUGCGGAAGGAUCAUUACUGUAAGGAAAAACAGGGGUUUUGAGACUGCGUCGUCAAUUCGGCGUGUGCUCGACUCCUUACUUCUUUCAUCCACACACACCUUUGUGCACCAUGGGGUCGUAAGACCCCCUUUUUCCACAAACACCGAGUUAUAUGCAUGUUUAUUUUACAUACUUUACGGAGUAUAUAAAAAACAACUUUCAACAACGGAUCUCUUGGCUUUC
rnacentral:misc_RNA from 1 species